rnacentral:rRNA from 1 species
GCCUAUGGCCAUGCCACCCUGAACACACCCAAUCUCGUCUGAUCUUGAAGGCUAAGCAGGGUCGGGCCUGGUUAGUACUUGGAUGGGAGACUACCUAGGAAUACCAGGUGCUGUAGGCC